GGAAUAUUGCACAAUGGGCGAAAGCCUGAUGCAGCGACGCCGCGUGAGUGAAGAAGUAUUUCGGUAUGUAAAGCUCUAUCAGCAGGGAAGAAAGGCCCUAUAAGGGAGAUGACGGUACCUGACUAAGAAGCCCCGGCUAACUACGUGCCAGCAGCCGCGGUAAUACGUAGGGGGCAAGCGUUAUCCGGAUUUACUGGGUGUAAAGGGAGCGCAGACGGCAGUGCAAGUCUGAUGUGAAAUCCCGGGGCUCAACCCCGGAACUGCAUUGGAAACUGCGCAGCUCGAGUAUCGGAGAGGUAAGCGGAAUUCCUAGUGUAGCGGUGAAAUGCGUAGAUAUUAGGAGGAACACCGGCGGCGAAGGCGGCUUACUGGACGAAGACUGACGUUGAGGCUCGAAAGCGUGGGGAGCAAACA
rnacentral:rRNA from 1 species